GCUGCGGGCGCGGGGCCGCGGCGGGUGGAGAGGACGCCAGCAGGAGAGGGGCGGGGGGCGGAGCUGGGACGGGAGUGCUCGCCCACUCGGGUCGCCUGGAUUAUUUAUGAAAAGGGCGCCAGGGAAAGGGCUGCGCCUGUAGAACCGAAGGGACUAAGGGUUCGAUUGGAAGGGAGCGUUAUUUGUAUCUCUCUCCACAUAAUGGAACGUUUAAAUGAUUAAAUCAAGUACCUUGCAGGAGAGGGUGGGGUUGGCCUUGAGGAUACACUCAAGGCUUCAGGACAUGCAGUCUGGAAGUGGGGAAUCAAGAGCACCCUGUCUCUGAGUACUGUCCUCAAUGAUAAGGCGCUGAGGUUCCCAACCUGGACCAAGAAGUACAUAUUCAGGUUCAAAAGAUAAACCAAAACAAAACCUGAGCUCCUCUUCUAGAAUGAGUGCCUGGUCCCAGAUCACCAGCUAAUAUUUAUGGAAAGCUUAUCAGAAAACAGAAGUGUCAGCAGAGGACUGUAAGUGCUAUGUGAUUGGACUAUGGUGGCCAUGGAAUUUCACCUGCCCGGCACAUAUUCUCUCAUCCUCUCCUCCUCUGCCUUGUUUGGGAGGGAGAAAUCAGAAGGAGUGGGAAUGCAGUUCAGAGAGCAGAGGAGAAGAGAAGAAAAGAAGGAAGAAGGAAGAGGACUGGGGGUGGGUGGGGGGGAGGACACCAAUGGGAAGAGGGACAGAUCAACUCUACACACAAAAGUAAAUCAAAACACCAAAAACAGGGGUCUAUGUAAGGAAGCCUCUGCCCAUGAAUUGCUCGUUGCAUAGCUGCAGGGAGGGUGUUUGGGGGCAUAGAGAAUGAAAACACCUGUAUUUUGGUGUAGGGAAAUUGUUUCUGUCAAUUCACACCGUCCACACGCCACCUCCCACCCCAACCCCACCACUACCAAAUUCCUCUAAAUAAAAAUAAUUAUGAGAUACAGGCCAACAAAAACCGUCAGCCUUAGGCUGUUAUUUAGGGAGAAUUGGAAAGCGUUUGGAUAUGCCCCUGUUGUUUAAUAAAUGACAACAAUGAUUA